CCUACGGGAGGCAGCAGUAGGGAAUAUUGCUCAAUGGGGGAAACCCUGAAGCAGCAACGCCGCGUGGAGGAUGAAGGUUUUCGGAUUGGAAACUUCUUUUGUUAGAGAAGAUAAUGACGGUAUCUAACGAAUAAGCAACGGCUAACUCCGUGCCAGCAGCCGCGGUAAUACGGAGGGUGCAAGCGUUACUCGGAAUCACUGGGCGUAAAGAGAGCGUAGACGGGAUAGCAAGUCAGAUGUGAAAUCCUAUGGCUUAACCAUAGAACUGCAUGUGAAACUGUUAUCCUUGAGUAUGGGAGAGGUAGGUGGAAUUCUUGGUGUAGCGGUAAAAUCCGUAGAGAUCAAGAGGAACACUCAUUGCGAAGGCGACCUGCUAGAACAUAACUGACGCUGAUGCUCGAAAGCGUGGGUAGCAAACAGGAUUAGAUACCCCGGUAGUC
rnacentral:rRNA from 1 species